AUGGCUAGAGAAUUUCAUGCUAUACUUGGCGGUGGCAACACAGAUUAUAUUUCAGGGAUUUUCCAUUUCUUAGGAAUCAUCUUUCUAUCUCUUUCAGUUUUAUCAAUCAUCAUUUUUUCAUGUGGCGAUGAGAAGAACAAUCAAAAGCGACGACAAAAAAGAAAAGACGGACGUGGGAUUAGUGGAAUUGGUGGCCACGGUGGCACCGACGGAGGAGGAGGAAGCGGUUACGGUGGAGGCGGCGGUUAG